GUUUUAUUAGGAUUUAUGUGCCCAGAUUUUUAAAAACGUGUAUGAGAAAUAUUAAAAACACAAAACAUAACACACUACUUGGGAAGAACAUCUGGAAAAAAUGGAUGACAGAAUGCCAACAUUUACUUAUGAAUACGCACCUCUGGAAGGACCAGGGGACCUGGACACCCCAGAGAAAUUUGGUAAAACCCUCUGCACCACUUUCUAUGCUAUAAAUAUGUUCCUUAAAAAUUGUAUGUAAAUCAACUGUUAGUAAAUCAUUUGUUAAAUACAAGGGUGAGCAUGAUUUUAAAGAUAUCAUAAGAAUGUACAUUUUAGUAAAGGAAAUAAUUACCGAUGGAGUAAUAGAAAAAAACUCACGGACUGAGCGAAGUUCAAGGUCCUUCAUUAUUAUCCUGGCUCUGCCACCAACUAAAUGUGCGAUUCAAGAAAAUCACUCAACCUCCCUGGGCCAAUUCCCUCAUCGAGUUUGGGUUGUAAUUCUGAAUUUUCACUUAUUAGGUUCUUAAUGCAAGGUACAGGGGUACUGGCCCACAGCCUCAAGUCCAGUUUCUUCUGAGAGGUAAUAUUACACACUAAAUCCUUGUGUACAGAGCUCCAGGCUCUCUUACAUAAGAAGAGCUACAGUUACCAUCAUUCUGUGUUUUGCUUCUUUACAGUCCACUGUCUCUUUUUCACAAUCACCCUUAGUUGAUGAUUACAACUGUUUGUUCCAAUUCUUUACAAAAGUUUGUUCCUUAGCUCUGUCCUCUGGGAAAAAUUGACAGUCUAAGGUAGGAACCCUUUCUUGGUGCUCCUCUCCACCUCUGGCCCUUUCCCUAACCCACAAAGCUGGGCACUGCCCAAGGACAAGGGCUGUACUCUGUGCCUAGUGCAGGCCCAGGCUCGAAGAAGGAAUUCAGUAAAUGACCGUUCACUGAUUUUUUUUUGUUUGUUUUUUUGAGACAGAGUCUCACUCUGUCGCCCGGGCUGGAGUGCAAUGGCACGAUCUCAGCUCACUGCAACCUCCACCUCCCAGGUCCAAGUGAUUCUCCUGCCUCAGCCUCCUGAGUAGCUGGGAUUACAGGCAUGCACCACCACACCCGGCUAAUUUUUGUAUUUUUAGUAGAGACGGGGUUUUACCAUGUUGGCCAGGUUGGUCUCGAACUCCUUACCUCAUGUGAUCUGCCCACCUCAGCCUCCCAAAGUGCUGAGAUUACAGGUAUGAGCCACCGCACCCAGCCUGGCUGGAUGUUUUUGAAGGAGGAAGCUGAGGCAAGGAGAUGGGUCUGAUGACAGACCCGAACUCUAGGAGUGGACUUCUGGCUGCUUCUUUAAACAUUUCUAAACUUUCCAAAUUUUCUACAAUGGACAAAAAUAUCAAAACCGCAAACCAUUAAACUCUCCUUUUCCUGGCUUUCUGUCAAUGCCCUGGUCUCCCAUAAAUAAUGCAGUAGGCAGUUUCCUUCUAAUACUGCAAACUUUGCUCAGUGCUCCAGCAUUUGGCCCAGGACAUAGGGCACACAUCUUUUCUUUAAGAGAAACAGCCGUUUCGGUCUUCUAGUCUGUUUUGCUUAAAUAGCAAUGACACUAUGCAUUUGUCUUUGUGGACUUAACACCUGCCAUCCUGCCCCAGGCAAGGACUCCUGCCAACUGGCUCCAGAAAAGGUCAUUUAUCAACCGUGUUUAGGCACCACCUUGAUUAAUCUGCCAUAUAGGAAGUACAAAACACCACUGUAAGAAUUCUUUUGUCUUCUUAAGCAGAAACAGGUUUAGGCCUUAACUGGCAAGAGAUAGAAAGCAACCAGUCAGGCUUCUUGCCGACUACCACCACGUUGUAGGGUAAUUCCGGAGCUGUUAGGAAGCCUCAAGAAACAGAAGAAAUUAUUCUCUAUUGGGCACGUACUCCAUGCCAGGUGUUGUGCUGUGUGCCUCGUAUACACAGAAGAAAUUAUUCUCUAUUGAGCACGUACUCCAUGCCAGGUGUUGUGCUGUGUGCCUCGUAUACACUGUUUAAUGUAAGCCUCACAUCUAAUAAUCACUAUCUAACAUAGAUAUUUUUACUAAUUUAUCUUUUUUUUUUUUUUUUAAGACGGAGUCUUGCUCUGUCACCCAGGCUGGAGUGCAGUGGCGCAAUCUCAGCCCACUGCAAGCUCCGCCUCCCGGGUUCACGCCAUUCUCCUGCCUCAGCCUCCUGAGUAGCUGGGACUACAGGCGCCCGCCACCGCGCCCGGCUAAUUUUUUUCGUAUUUUUUUAGUAGAGACGGGGUUUCACCGUGGUCUCGAUCUCCUGACCUCGUGAUCCACCCGCCUCGGCCUCCCAAAGUGCUGGGAUUACAGGCGUGAGCCACCGUGCCCAGCCUACUAAUUUAUCUUAUUUCUUGUCUGUCUCCCUCACUGAAAUGUGUGCUCACGAGGAGGAACAUUUCUUGGGGUCUUGUUUAUUGUGUCUAGAACAGCAUCAUACACAGAUAAGCACUCAAUAAAUAUUGUUGAAAUGAACAAAAUGAACAACUCCAUGAGAUAGAUGGCAUUACUUCCCUUUUACAGAUGAAUUAACUGACAACCUUAGAGGGUACAAAUGAACUGCCCAAAGUCACAUAGCUAGUUAAGAAGCCAGAACUGAAACCCAAGCCUCACUCAUUCAUUCUAUAGACCAGAGGACUUAUACUUAGAUCUUAAAGAACUCUUUCAGCUUGGCGAUUAUAUGAGCUAUAGGCCUAUAAAAUAUGUAUUUACCUUGUGUACUCAUUUGGAGGUUUAAAAUUUCACUGAGGAGACCUUUAACAUUUUUAUAAUAAUCAUUUUACUAAAGCAAAGAUUAAGUACACAUUUUCCCAACAUAACAAUUUCAUCUAUGGAUAGGCAUUAGCUACAUGAUUUUUCAUUUUAAAACCCCACAAUGAUUAUUUUUCAGACAUAAAUAAAAAAUACACUGGUUCUAGAUGCCAACAAAAUCACAUUUGCAAACCUUAAGAGUUUGGUAAGUUACAACAUUAAGAUGACUAACGAUAUGUGUGCAGUAUUCUCAGUAUAGAAUACCCAAAAUUCCCGUGUACAUCUGUGUUGCUUGAGUGUCCCAGUAUGGGAGGAGGUAGACUUGGCACAUCGAAAGCCACUGCUAUACUAAAGAAUCAUACAAAGUCUCAGGGAUUCUUCAGAGAAUCAGCUAUUAUAAAAUCCAUCUUGAUAAUUCAUUUUGUGCGAGAAUGUGAGAAUGAAAUGCAAAGGAGGUUAAUUUUACCCAGGAGAGCAUUCAUAUCCUUUUCCACUUGUCAGAAUAUACUUGAUUCAUAAGUGGUCUUUUACCGACCUACGACUACAUCACAAGAGCAUGCCAGCCACAGUGUCUUCCCUUAACACUUUGUGUUUUUUUGUAGGGAUUAUGGUCACAUAGUCACACGGUCCCUUCUCCUCCUGGGCAGGUCCUUUUCCCUUCUGUCCCAGCCUUGCUGCCAACACAAGAUCAUAUAGCCUCUGUGUCCACCCAGCCAGUUAAUUGUUCAUGGACCAAACUAGUGAUCUGGCCUCAAUCUCUCCACUGCCAGCUCUAGAUGCUAUUGAUUUUUACUGAUAAUAUAAGUAGUAAUAUACUGGAGAAAAUUUUUUAAAGCAUAAAACCAGGAAAACCCAUAAUCCAACUACCCAGAGUUUGCAUAUCCUUUCCAUCUUUUUAAAAGUCAUUUUUUGGAUUUAUACAUACAAUUUUGUAUAUCACUCUUUUCACUUAACACUAUAAGCACUUUGCCAUGCUGUCAAAUACUCUUCAGAAACAUAAAUUAUAAUGAUGGCACAACAGUCUACUGGAUAGUCAUACUGUAAUUUACUUAACCAAUUUUCUACUGUUGGACUUUAAGAUUGUCAAGCCUUGAUUUUGCCCACAUUUUAGACUAUUUCUUUAGGACAAAUUCCCAGAAGUGGAAUUGGAGGAUCAGAGGAUCUAAACAUUUUUAAAGCUCCUGAUAGAUAUUGCCAAAUUGCUUUUCAGAAAACCAUUGCCAGUCUACACUUCUAACAUUGCCAGUGUGUUUUUCUGCCAAUAUAGAUCUGUCUAAAGGAUAAUAAAAUUUAAAUGAAACACGCAGUCCUCUAAUUAUUAAUGCAGCUGGAGAGGCAUCAAGACCAGAGCACAAAGGCAUGUGGCAACAGUCAUACCUAUUUCCAGGUAUGCAGUUAACAAUGGGUUAGUGUGCACACACGGAACAGAAAAUUUGCAAGAGUGAAGAGUAAUAUAAUUAGAUUUCAGACCAUCUAAUCCAAGGCCUGUGUCUAUUUUGUACACUGCUGUAUCUCGGCACACAAGAUAGCAUCUGGCCCAUACAGCCACUCAAUAAAAAAUUGUUGAGUGAAUUAACACAGAAUCUUCUUUCAGAUGCAAUCUUUCAGCAGCUGUAGGGUUUAGUUACUCCUGAACUCAUAGGAAACAUGACUGACUGGAUCAGACAAUUUUGUAAUGGACUGUUCAAUGCUGAGAUUCUACUACAACUUUGGAAAAUCAGUUUAAAUAAAGGUGACACAAUAAAGAGCUCUCUAGGGGAAAAGACAAAUACACUUACCUAAAAGGACAGAUCUCAGCACCAGUUGCAAGGUGCAAAUACACAUAUGUAUCUGUAAUACAUAUAUAUAUUUGCAAGCAUGCAAAAAAUACAUUUCAGUGAGUUUUGUCAUCUCCAUAGUACACACUUUAAUAGGUGAUAACAUAAGCUUAUUCAAAUGCUACCCAUGGUCAAAUCAUUUUUGGGACUACCUUCAGUUCAUUCUAUUAUUGUUGGUUGCAGCUUGGCAUCAGUUUUAGUGUUGCCAACACUGGUUUUGAUAUUUUACAUGGGAAUAAUAUAGGUGGUUUUAUAAUAUCAUUUUUAGUCAAAAACAGCACAAAAUUUAUUUUGUGAACCAGAAUAUUUCAAGGUAAAAUAGCCAAUCAUUCAGCUUUAGUUUACUCUCCUGGCUCCACAGAGUCCCUCCAAUAUUCCACAAUUUCUUUUUUUUGUUUGAGACAGGGUCUCACUCUGUCGCCUAGGCUGUAGUGCAGUAGCACGAUCAUGGCUCACUGCAGCCUGGACCUCCUGGGCUCAAGUGAUCCUCCUGCCUCAACCCUGCAAGUAGCUGGGACUACAGCCACGUGCCACCAUGCCAGGCUAAUUUUUGUAUUUUUUUGUAGAGAUGGGGUUUCACCAUGUUGGCCCAGGUUGGUCUCUAACUUCUGGCCUCAAGCAAUCUGCCCGCCUCAGCCUCCCAAAGUGCUAGGAUUACAGACAUGAGCCAUCGUGCCUGGCCCACAAUUUCCACAAAUAAAUUGUCAGACACUGCCAGAUCAAUGUGGCAUUAAUAAUGUUAUUGAUGGAAAAUAAUCAUCUGUCAUUUUUAUAUACACACUUCAUAUACACUAGACUGGGGGUUAUAUCAAACUAUAGCCGAUGGGCCAAAUCUGUCCUGCCAUCUGUUUUUCUAUGGCCUAAAAGCUAAGAAUGUCUAACUUUCUUUUUUUGAGAUGGAGUCUCCCUCUGUUGCCCAGGCUGGAGUAGUGGCAAGAUCUUGGAUCACUGCAGCCUCCAGGGUUCAAGCAAUUCUCCUGCCUCAGCCUCUCGGGUAGCUGGGAUUACAGACACACACCACCACGCCCGGCUAAUUUUUAUAUUUUUAGUAGAGAUGAGGUUUUACCAUGUUAGCCAAGCUGGUCUCGAACUCCUGACCUCAGGUGAUCCACCCGCCUCGGCCUCCCAAAGUGCUGGGAUUACAGGUCUGAGCCACCGUGCCCGGCCUCUUUUUAACAUUUUUCAAUGGUUUAAAAAAAUCAAAAUAGUAUUUUGUAAAAACUAUAUAAAAUUCAAAUUCUAGUAUCCAUUUAUAAAGUUUUAUUGGAACACAGCUGUGCUCAUCUGUUUCUAUAUUAACUAUGUCUACUUUUGCACUAAAAUGUUUAGUGGCAAAAGAGACCAUAUGGCCCAUAAAGACUCCUUUAUAGAAGUCUGUUGACCACUGGACUAUGCCCAAGUGAGUCCUUGGAGGGGACCCACUGGAGCUCCCCACUAUAGAUUUUUUGUUUCCGGAUAUUAAUACUGGGAAAGGGGUGAUUCAACUAGGACAGUAUUUGCAAGGAUCUGAUAAGGGAGACACUGUAGAACAUAAAUACAUGAUGGUUACCUCAGAAAAGAUAUAAACGCCUGGUAAAAUCUGGGUGGGCUGACUGAAGAAGAAGUAAUUGGAGAAUGCACAGUAACAUACACAAUUUAGCAGCAAAGGUGGGCUCUUAUUGAGUCACAUGGGACCUUGCUGAGACCCAAUCCCAACGAGCCUAGUGAAACUCUCUGGUGAUGAUGUCUGCAAAUAGCAGGGAGACUGAGCAGCAUUUGUAAUGCAAUGACAGACAAUUCCCCAAUAGUACCCCAUUCCUUUAUUAGGUGUCCUCAAGUCAUUUAGCAUCCAGAUUUAUCCAGGCAUUUCCAAAGGCAAGUCUUAGUCUUUGACUAGAAAUUCAUCUGAAAAAAAGUUUCUGGGAAGGAGGCCCCAGGUAAACAUUCUUCCCCAAAUAACAUUUCAAUGAGGACUCAGUGAGGAUCAGAAUUCAGAAGAUGGCAGAACCCUCCACAUGUUUUUCUAAGUCACAGAUUUGGUGAACAUUUUAUUCUUUCUCUUUUUGAUCAUUACUAGUGGGGCAAAUGAAGCAAGGUAGGGUGGGGUGAUGGAAGGGGAGAAUUGCAUAAAAUCAGUGUUAGGAUGAUCUGCCCCAGAAGGCAUGUAUUCCUCUUAGACGCUCAGCUGUGGCAUAAAACAUUCCAUGUGGACUUUGAAUUAGAAUGAGCGUGGGGGCGGGGACAAAGAUCAACCUGAAAGCCAAACGGAGUCAUUGACCGAUGGUGUUAAGCUUGAGAAAGUUUGCAGAUGGCCAGCUCUCCUACUGACAUCCCACAGAAAGCCAGGCUUGAUCUAUUGUGGUUAGGUGGAGUUUCUCCUGCCAGGGAAAAUACAGUUGCUAGGAGAAUGGGCUUUGGAUGUUAUAACUCUGAAGAAGUUUCAUGACUCUUGCUACUAGAGGUAACCAUAUUGCCUCCUUGAGAAACUGGUGACACUGGGUGCCUCUGGGGAGUGCAACUGAGGGUGGCUAAGGUGCCCAUGUCCCUUAGAAAAAACAAAAUCAACACAUAAUUCCCCCAUGUCACCCCACCCUGCUUCUUUAAGAUAGGAAGGCAACCUGGGGCCAGGGCUGGAGCAGACAAUUUCCUUACUCAGCAGCUGAAGCGGGGAGCUGAAAGAAGGAUCCAAAAAAUCAGAGAAGAGUUGUAAGUUAAGUGGAAAACCAUGACCCAAAGGUCAAUACAAGGAUCAGCACACCAAAGUGACCAAAAGCAGCUACUGAAGAUGUGACCCAGGACCAGAAAACAAAGCAACAAGGAAAGAGAGGAGUAAGAGCAAACUGUGAAGAAUAAACUGAGAGGUGUCUGAAGAUAGUCAAGGACAAGAGCCUGGGGUGUGACGGACACAUAGCUGGAUGUGUGAGACUACGGGACCAGGAGCUCAAGAGGCCUAGGCAGCAAGGUGCAGGCCAGGGCAAAACGUGCAUCAGCAAUAAAAUAGAUUUGGUGGGUGGACACAUUAGGAGUACUCAUAUAAGAACUUUCCUAUUUGGAGAUGCCCAGAUCAUGCUCUACCCUUGGGUUUAGAAAUUCUGAGCAGCCAAAUGUGAAUGGUUUGCUCUGGAUAAGUCCUUUUCAUUAUAGCCAAUUGGAACCAUUUGAAUUCACACUCCUAAUUACCUGCUUCUGGUUGCUGUGUCUAAACCAUGUCUGGACCAACAUAGCUUCUGGUACUCUACACUCCACCAUGGGUCUUGGUCCAGCAUCACUGGCAGGGACAUACCAGCCCUGUUCAUAGGACUGGAAUAAAAUCCAGAAGUAAGUUGUCUCAGGACCUCUGUUUAAUAACAGGUUAGAAACAACUCCUGUAGGUAUGGUUGUGGGAUCCUGGCCUGGGACCAGGAGCAUAUAAAUCUGCAACAAUUACCACUGGGUAGGCCUUAGCAAGGAUUACUAUGAGGUUCAGCAACAAAGCUGCAAGAACUAGUGGUGGGGACUUUGUUCCUAAAGUGCAGUGUCCCUGGUGCCAAGUGCUUGUGGGCAACCUAGAGCCGCAUCUGAUGUAGGAAGACUUCAUUGUCCUGAAAUGGAAUGUCUAGAAACUGUUAAGGAGCUGGAGGUCUAUAAGCUGUUGUUUGGUUUAAGAGUUUUCUUACACAGUAUCUUCUCUUUGUGGGACAACGUCUAGCUUUCAAGGUGUCUCAAAACUAACAGGUGUUAAUGAGGAACUUGUAAUUUUUGGAGGUGAGUAGAGAAAGUGAAAGAACAGCACUAAAAGUAACUGUGAUGAAUGAGUGUUGUGCCUCUACUAUCAAGCAAUAUUGUUUAAGAGGAGCUGUUAUAUCUAAAAAUCCUUGAGUAAAACAAAGACUGGCCAAUUCUGUGAAAUGCUAUUACCAAACCCCUGCCCCCUGAAUGUUUCCAGUCUAUGUGGUAUUACUUGGAACCCACUUGGGAAAAGUUCCAUUCCAUAAAUCCUGGCAGAGGCAGGAAGAGAAGAGACAGAGUUUGAACUUGCAGAAACUGCUUGUCGGGGUCCAAAUGGAAAAUCAGAUAUCAAAUUGGUUGUUACAAACCUAUUCACAGACUCAGGGGAAGCAAUUUAACAACAAGUGGCAUAGAGUUGGAGGCUUAGGAGAGAAAGCAAAUUAUCCCAAAUUGUUCAUCUGCUGCAACACCAUUAUCUUCCUCUUUAAACUUUGUUAUUUUAGCCAAUAGUGUCAUCAUUUUCUAAUUCCUUUUUUUUUUUUUUGGGACAGAGUCUAGCUCUGUCGCCAGGUUGGAGUACAGUGGCGCAAUCUCCACUCACUGCAACCUCUGCCUUCCGGG
rnacentral:lncRNA from 1 species